ensembl:lncRNA
CUCCCACAAGGAGGAAGGCUCCACCUGGCCUCAGCUUUUUGUAUCUCUUUGUCUGUCUUUUCUUUUCUUUUUUGGUACCAGGGAUCAAACUCAGGUCCUUGUGCUUGCUGGGCAGGUGGCAGAACCACUGAGCUAAAUCCCCAGCCCUGAAUGUCUUUUCUUCAUUCCUCACUGUUCUCCCUCCAAGGAUCUUCGAGCUGAGCAGGACACAGCAGUUGGCACCUGAAACAGGCAGACUAUGAGACAAAUAACAUUUUCAGACUUCUGAUAAUAACUAUAACACAAGAUUACGCUACUUUUUUUUUUACUAGCUUUUUAUAAAAGAUUACACUUACAGUCCAGAGCCCAGCACUGAAAAGAUAACUGGGCUAAAAAGACAGGCAAUAUUUUGGAUCUGGGCCUCCAAAGUCAAGAAAGAUCCAGGACAUGAGGGAACCUUUUCUACAAAUCCUACAUUUUUGGGUCUUGCUAUGAAGGUCAGGCUGGCCAUGAACACACUACACACCCCAGGCUGGCCUCAAACUCACAGCGAUCCUCCUGCCUCAGCCUCAUGAGUGGUUCCUUUGCCAGUUUUUGUAUUUGUACUGGUGGACAAGAUGCCACUGUUC